AGUGAACGCUGGCGGUGGGCCUAACACAUGCAAGUCGAACGGAAACACAGUAAGAGCUCGCUUCUACGGGUGGCGAGUGACGGAUGGGUGAGACAUACAUCACAAACUUCUUAUACGGGGGGGACAACGUAGGACAACUGACGAUAAUACAGCAUAUGAUCUACGGGAUAAAGCAGUAGUGCUUGAGAGCUUUCGUGAUUGAAAGAGCCGAUGUCGGAUUAGCUAGUUGGCUAGGUAAAGGCCCACCAAGGCGACGAUACGUAGCGGGUCUGAGAGGAUGAUCAGCCACACUGGAACUGAGACACGGUCCAGACUCCUACGGGAGGCAGCAGUAGGGAAUAUUGCGCAAUGGGCGCAAGCCUGAUGGAGCCACGCCGCGUGAGUGAAGAAGGUCUUCGGAUUGUAAAGCCCUGUUAUUAGGGAAGAACAACUGUGUGUGUAUCUCCGGACGUUUUGACGGUACCCAAAGAAUAAGCACCGGCUAACUUCGUG
rnacentral:rRNA from 1 species